rnacentral:rRNA from 1 species
CCGUAACUAUAACGGUCCUAAGGUAGCGAAAUUCCUUGUCGGGUAAGUUCCGACCCGCACGAAAGGCGUAAUGAUUUGAGCGCUGUCUCAACAAUGCAUCCGGUGAAAUUGAAAUACCAGUGAAGAUGCUGGUUACCUGCGCCAGGACGGAAAGACCCCAUGGAGCUUUACUCCAGCUUGAUACUGGGAUUCGGUAUUGCAUGUACAGGAUAGGUGGGAGGCUAGGAAAUGGUAACGCCAGUUGCCAUGGAGCCAAUGUUGGGAUACCACCCUUGCAGUACUGGGUUUCUAACCAGCAGCCGUGAUCCGGCUGGGGGACAAUGUCAGGUGGGGAGUUUGACUGGGGCGGUCGCCUCCGAAAGGGUAUCGGAGGCGCUCAAAGGUUCCCUCAGAAUGGUUGGAAACCAUUCGAAGAGUGCAAAGGCAGAAGGGAGCUUGACUGCGACACCGACGGGUGGAGCAGGUACGAAAGUAGGACUUAGUGAUCCGGUGGUAUAAAGUGGGAUUGCCAUCGCUCAACGGAUAAAAGCUACCCUGGGGAUAACAGGCUUAUCACUCCCAAGAGUUCACAUCGACGGAGUGGUUUGGCACCUCGAUGUCGGCUCAUCGCAUCCUGGGGCUGAAGUAGGUCCCAAGGGUUGGGCUGUUCGCCCAUUAAAGCGGUACGCGAGCUGGGUUCAGAACGUCGUGAGACAGUUCGGUCCCUAUCCGGCGUGGGCGUAGGAUAUUUGAGAGGAGCUGUCCUUAGUACGAGAGGACCGGGAUGGACUGGCCGCUGGUGUAUCUGUUGUCUUACCAAAGGCAUAGCAGAGUAGCCAAGCCGGGAAGGGAUAAACGCUGAAGGCAUCUAAGCGUGAAGCCCCCCUCAAGAUGAGAUAUCCCAUAACGUCAAGUUAGUAAGACCCCUUGAAGACGACGAGGUAGAUAGGGCAGAGGUGGAAGUGUGGUAACACAUGGAGCUGACUGUUACUAAUCGGUCGAGGGCUUGACCUA